GAUGAAGAACGCAGCAAAAUGCGAUAAGUAAUGUGAAUUGCAGAAUUCAGUGAAUCAUCGAAUCUUUGAACGGACAUUGCGCCCGCUGGUAUUCCGGCGGGCAUGCCUGUUCGAGCGUUAUUUCAACCCUCAAGCCCCCGGGUUUGGUGUUGGGGAUCGGCUCUGCCCUUCUGGGCGGUGCCGCCCCCGAAAUACAUUGGCGGUCUCGCUGCAGCCUCCAUUGCGUAGUAGCUAACACCUCGCAACUGGAACGCGGCGCGGCCAUGCCGUAAAACCCCAACUUCUGAAUGUUGACCUCGGAUCAGGUAGGAAUACCCGCUGAACUUAAGCAUAUCAAUAAGCGGAGGA
rnacentral:misc_RNA from 1 species